rnacentral:rRNA from 1 species
UACGUAGGGUGCGAGCGUUAAUCGGAAUUACUGGGCGUAAAGCGUGCGCAGGCGGUUUUGUAAGCCAGAUGUGAAAUCCCCGGGCUUAACCUGGGAAUGGCAUUGGAGAACUGGCUAGCUGGAGUGUGGCAGAGGGGGGUGGAAUUCCGCGUGUAGCAGUGAAAUGCGUAGAGAUGCGGAGGAACACCGAUGGCGAAGGCAGCCCCCUGGGCUGACACUGACGCUCAGGCACGAAAGCGUGGGGAGCAAACAGG